UACAGAGGGGGCAAGCGUUGUUCGGAAUUACUGGGCGUAAAGGGCGCGUAGGCGGCCUUCUAAGUCGAACGUGAAAUCCCUGGGCUUAACCCAGGAACUGCGUCCGAUACUGGAAGGCUGGAGUUCGGGAGAGGAAUGUGGAAUUCCAGGUGUAGCGGUGAAAUGCGUAGAUAUCUGGAGGAAUACCGGUGGCGAAGGCGGCAUCCUGGACCGACAUUGACGCUGAGGAGCGAAAGCUAGGGGAGCAAACGGG
rnacentral:rRNA from 1 species